ensembl:lncRNA
CGAUUUAAAUGCAAACCAAUAAUCCUUUUCUGCCGCUAAGUCUACUUUACUUUACCUUUCUCGCUGUCGUUGAGGGGCUAAUGCAUCUUACUGUUGUUUGUUUAAGCAUGAGUUAUUGAAAUGUACAUCCCCUCUGACUACAGCGUGGUGCACAAUGCAGUUGUUUAAAGCUGUAUACUCACAUGCUGUCUGUAGAGUGAGACUUCCACAAAGGCAAACCUGAGGACACCUAAAAGGUAACAGCCACAUGUCACACCUGCAGGAGCGCGUCCCUCACGGAGUGGAUCCGUCAAACCAAAGUGAAGAGACGAGCGCGACGAGCAAACAAGCCCAGAAACAACAACAGCGGCGGCCCACGGGCGCAUUCAAGUUUGUCCUUGAAUUUCCACACCUGUGAGCGCCGAACGCGACCGGGGCCAUUUUGCGAAAUUGGAGGGAAACGCGCCGCAUAUGUUGGUUCCCUGGAGGUGUGCGCUCGUCGGCAGGUGUCUGCAGGAAAAAGCGAAAAAAUGGAAGGGCGAGAGGAAGAGGCGCUGGAAGACGGAUAAAGAGAAAAGAGAAGGGGAAAAAAAGGAGGAUUGAAAGAGAGGAGCAGGAGACGUCUCCCACUCACUCUCCGGCUCGCAGCUGAAUUCACGCCAAAAUGCUUCAUCUGCUAUAUGUGCUCUUUAGCAAUGUAAAUGCAUGCGGAUGAACUCGGAUCCUGCAAGAAUAUAUGGCACACGUUUCUCACACCGUGAAAACUUUUUCACAAUUACUUGUUUGGCAGAAGAUGACAAACUAUCCGAAGCUCCUGUGAGCAACAUCCAAGUUACGGAAGUUUAGAACAAACAAGCGUUUUAUUUAUUUAUUUCUCCCCGAGGUGAGCGCCGACGAGCUAAAUCCCGCUAAAAAGCGUGAAACGCGCUGCUGUUUCCCCGCAAUAGUAAUUCCGUUUUCCUUAUUUUAUUUCCAAAUCAAUUAACUAACCUUGAGAUGAGCUUUGCUGUUGAUAAGUGCUGUACAGUGCAGCCCCCCCCCCCCCCCCCCUCUACUUUGAACGAGGCUUCCACUUCAGGCAGCAUAUAAUAGAUAUUGAACUGUAAAUUUGAAUUAAAAGCUCGGGUCAUUGUGCCUCAUUGACUUUCGACCACAAAAACCAAAUGAUGUCUUAGUUGAGAGAAAUAUAUCAAAGGAUAUCAACAAUUACGAGUCAUAAACACGCCUGGAGACGCGCCUGGCGGGCGUAAAGCAGCGGGAAUUAGCAUGUUGAGCUGAUAAAUAUGCAUGUAAAGACGCUCCCAGGGGAAUAACACGCGUGUGAUUGAUAGCUUUGGAAUUGAAGGAUGUGUAAAUUCCUUUUAUUCUGGGGGGUUGUGCUGUUGUAGCGCCGAAAUACAGAGCACUUGUUAAAAGUUUUACCAACUUUAUAAUCCUUAAUGCCACAUCUGUUUGCUGUCUUUAUAGCGCCUGUAAAACGUCAUUAUAUUAUUACCACCAGCUGGCCUCAUUGCACAAUAACCUCACUUAUCUGUUAUUCUGUGGGAAUACUUUUGAUUUA